UGACUUAAAAAUAUCUAAUAAGAACUAAUCGUUUUAUAGAACAACUGCGAUUUGAAGUUCUUAUUAUACUAUAAUAUAACUAUUAGGAAAAAUAUAUGGGAAAAUAUUCAAUAGAUUUUUAAGUCCCAU